AACAGACCGCAGGGGCAAGACAGCCGGCGCGGGAGGAGGAUGGCGCUGUCGGUGCUGCGCUUGGCGCUGCUGCUCCUGGCAGUUACCUUCGCAGGUAGCGCUCGGAGCGGUCCUGGCGAGCGGGGACCUCCGGAGAAAAGCGGGUUUGGGAGUCAGACCGGCGGCGGACCCUGCCCUGCUCCGGGCGGCCUCGGCGACGGUACCCGCGCGCCCGUUACUGGCGGUUCCCCAGAGGACCUGCCAGGUGGAGGAACGCGAACUGGGGGUUGUGGGGGUGGCUUUGUGGAGUCAGCCACCCUCUUUAGUUCUUGCUUGGGCUUCGCUCCCAGCUCUAAGGACACCUGCCAUCUAGAGCGCUUUCUCUGUUAAAGUAGAUUUUCAGCCUCUCUGAUCCCUCAAUUUGGUCUGUUUUCAAAAUAUAGAACGCCAAACUGCUCUCAGUAUAGAUUACCAGGAUGUCCCAGACACUUUAACCCUGUGUGUGGCAGUGACAUGUCCACUUAUGCCAAUGAAUGUACUCUGUGCAUGAAAAUCAGGGAAGGUGGUCAUAAUAUUAAAAUCAUUCGAAAUGGACCCUGCUGAUGGAGCAGUUUACAGAAAAGAAGAUGGAGAGACCACCUUCACUGGCAGACUAGAUAAAUUGCAUUUCCCCUUUUUCUCUUUUCCUGUGUUUCUUUACAUGAGAUUUGUUAACACACAUUUUCUGAGAGCAGGUAUGGAAGACAGCCAUGUGUAGUGAUGGAUAAUUUAAAGAAAAAAAGAAUCCUUGUUUCUUGGCUUUUGCUCCUGGAGUUAAGCUUACUGCCCAGGUGACUUGUGCAUUGCUUUAUUUAGUUGAAAUAAAAUCAGCAUUGAAUUCA